AGUUUUGCUCUUGUUCCCUGGGCUGGAGUGCAGUGGCACCAUCUCGGCUCACCGCAACCUCCGCCUCCCAAGUUCAAGCGAUUCUCCUGCCUCAGCCUCCCCAGUAUCUGGGAUUAUAGUAAAAUUAAAACAGGCACAAUGAUAUCCUGGAUGACAAGAGCUGGAGGCUGUCAUUCUAACAAUGUAGUGGGACUGGCUGUCUUGUCUCAUGCCCACCCCUGGAAACAUGCGCAGGAACUCAAGCACCUAGCACAGAGGAAGUGUCUGGUUUCACCCCCUCUUCCCAGGUUUCACCCACCCCAACCAGUGUUGUUUGCAACACUUCAGCUUCUCUCCUCACGAAGCACGUCUCCAGAGACGCCUCUUCCGCAGCACCUUCCCAGGGAAGCCAUUUCUGCCUGGACCCACCGCAGCUCCCAACCUGUCACGCACCCCUGGAGGGUUCUGCUCUGUAAUCCUGAUUUAGAAAUCCUCUUACAUGAAACCACUGGAAUCCACAUCUGGUUAGACAAUUGGAAAAGUUCAUUGAAAGGAGAAAUAAUAAAAAUGGCAUCCAUCCCUUAAA